AUAAGUUAGCCAGUAAUGGUGCGGGCCUAACUAAAGAGAUUACAACUUUUAGAGGUCGCAUGCCACUGUUAACACUGAUAAUUUAUCAUCUCGCUUUUACAUAUGCUAGGCCCAUUAGUUUGACACAUAUUGCUCCGGGUACACACAUGUCAAAGUAACGGGAUACAAUAUGCUAGAGCGAGACCCCAUGUUUCAGUCCGUGAAUGCAUGGAGACAGUAGCGCUUAGUUUCGUCUAGUCAACGACACGACGUACCACUUAAUGAAACAUCCUGAACAAAAAGUGAUCGAGUUUUUUACCGACAGUUAUCAGCACAUUGAGUGGCCCCUCGAUGCGAACUAAAAAUAAUUUUUCCACCAACACUUCUUUGUUUAUUUUAUUUUUGGUUGCUGUAUAGCAACCAUGUUAUUUUUCUGCUUUUUCGUUCAAUUACGUUUGUUGCCUGACAAUAGCCGGAAAAUAUAUCCUGCCGGGUGAUCUUUUGGCCGCCGCUUCGCUAUCCGAUUUGUUCGAUAUACCGUUUGUGACAGAAUCUCCAUCCGUUGCUUCGGUAGUCCAUUCGUUCUUCGGAUCGUUUGACAUGGUCAUCGGAGAGAAACUCAAACAGUUGCCAUUUGUACUUGUGCUGCUGUUUAGCUAGUUUUGACUACAUGACACCGAUUGUAUGCCAGGAGAUCAAUGUGGCCGUAAAACAGGCUUGAAAAGAAGCUGCUGCCAAGCAUUUGUCUCAAUGUGGCACCAAAGGUACGCUACUAGGCGCUGACCUACGAUCGCAAUUUUAACGAUGCCAAUUGGAUGUCGUUCCUGAGAAGUCCCAAGUUCGAUAGCCUGUAUCUGACUAUCGAUACAAAUCACAUCCUAUCAAUAAUUUCGUGUGAACAAGGUAAACUUUCGUAGCAAGUGAAGGGAAAUUCGUGAAUUCCGUUCCAAUUCAAUUCGCACAUCUCCAUUCUCGAAAUAAUGAAAGAUAGGGGCUUAAACAAUCAUCUUCAACCGAAUAUAGGAAUAUAAAUCAAGACAGUUCUAAUUGCAAUUGGUUUCUGAAAGCUGAACCAAAUUACCUUCCAGUCAUGCUGAAUUCGCGACGAAGGCAUUGAAAUUUUAUUGCAUAUUUUUUACACGGAUUUCUAUCCGAACGAACAGAAAGCUGCUGAGGCCCUGGAGUGGUGCAGUCUCUCCUAAAAAGGGGAGCUCCACUUGUCGUUCAUGAGGUUGUGUUUAAUGCAUGUGAAUAAGUUUUUGUAAU